AAGGUGGGUGCUGGGAACGGAGCAGUCGAGUCAUAGUCAUACAACUAUAGAAGUCGGUGCUCGUUACUAUCAGUGUUUGUUUAUCUGUUUUGUUUUUUUUUGUAGUCAAAUUGAACAUUAUAAAACUCAUUUUUCUAAUUCAAAAAUGAGCAAAACUGAUCUACCGUAUCUGGCAGAAUAUGCCAAAAGUGGUCGUGCCAUAUGCAGAGACUGUUGUUCCCGGAUAGAACUAGAUACUUUGCGUCUGGCUGUUAUAGUCCAGUCUGCAAAUUUCGAUGGAAAACAUCCCGAAUGGUUCCACUUCGAAUGCUUUUUCCAAAAACACAGACCAAAGACUGUCGAUGACAUUGAACACUACGAAUCUUUGAGAGUUGAAGACCAAGACAAGAUAAAGGAAAGAGUAGAACUGUCAAGUGUUACUAUAGUCACAGACAAAAAAGGGAAAAAACGGGCUCAAGAUAAAAUCGAUGCUAAAUUGAAGAAAGAAGCUCUAGAAGAUUUCAGAAUUGAGUAUUCUAAGUCCGGAACGGCUGCUUGUGGAGAAUGUGACCAGGAGAUUUUAGAGAAUGAGGUCCGUAUCUCCAAAAAAGAUUAUGAAAGAGACGUAGGUAAAAAAUAUGGAGGACAAGAUCUCUGGCAUCACGUUACUUGUUUUGCUCAAGUUAGAGCUGACCUAGGAUACUUCGAAUCUGGAGAUAAGCUGCCUGGUUUUAAAGAGUUGAAGAAAGAGGACCAAGAUACUGUGAUCCAGGCGAUAGUUCCUAUUAAACAAGAAGACAUCCCUGAAGUGAAGAAAGUCAAGGUAGAAGAGGAAGUGGACGCUCCUCCCAAGGAAGAAGAUGAGUACCGAAAGCAGAAUAAAUUAAUGUAUACGUACCGGGAUGCCCUUAGCCAGUACAAAGGAAGAGAAUUUAAGGAAAUCACGAAUGCGUUGCUGGAGUACAACAACCAAAAUUAUUUUAAAGGCAAACAAACGACAUUGGACCACUUGAUGGACAUCAUGGCGUUCGGAGCUCUCGUUCCAUGUGACACAUGCAAAGGCCAGUUCGUGUAUUCCAGCACAGGUUAUGUAUGCAAAAGCGAUCUUACAGACUGGGCAAAAUGCAACAAGCAAGUGAUGGAGCCUAGAAGGAAGCCAUUUAUGAUACCUGACUAUUUGAACUUGGAACACUAUUCGUUCUUGAAAGAUUACAAAUGUAAGCCGACGAAUAGAAUUAUCAAAGUAAAAGUUUCUACUAAUGGCGAUAAAAAAGAGGAAGACAAUGAAUAUGCUGAGCCACGAGUUAAAAGAGAUCUUCCACCUCUACACGAAAUGAAAUUUGUCAUCCUUGGACAUUCGGAUAAAAGUAAAGAAGCCAUAACGGAAGAAGUGACAGCUUUGGGAGGUAAAAUCGUUACCAAAAUAGACAAAACAGUUAUGGCUCUCAUUACGACGGAAAAGGAAGUGGAAAAAUUGGGCAGUAGAAUGCAAGAAGCGGAAUCUGAAGGAAUCCAUGCUGUUUCGGAAGAUUUCUUGAAAGUGGCCAAAUACAAUUCUGGAAAAAUCCCAGAUCUGAUUAUUAAGAAGAGCAUUUGUAGUUGGGGAACUGAUCCUACGGUACGCCUGCCACAGCCAGCAUCCACCAGCUCUAAUUCGAAAUCACAAAGCAUUUUCACCAUGUUCGUACCAGAAUCUGUCAAGUUGAAGUCUGAAGGAGGAACUGCGGUGGAUCCCGACUCUGGGCUCCAAAAUACAACCCAUGUGUACCAAAAUGGCAACGAUAAAUAUACCGCCAUUUUAGGUUUGACUGACAUUCAGUCGGGGAAGAAUAGUUAUUAUAAGUUGCAGUUGCUGGAAGCUGACGGCAGAGACAGUUAUUGGGUGUUUAGAUCUUGGGGAAGAAUUGGAACCACGAUUGGAGGUAAAAAACUUAAAGAGAUGGACUCUUUGAUCGACGCCAAAGAAAACUUCGAAAAAGUGUACAAAGAGCAAUCUGGAAACGAGUGGCGGAAUAGACACAACUUUAAAAAAGUCCCUGGAAGAAAGUACCCCAUCGAGAUGGACUACUUAGAGGAGGAGGCUCAAAAACUGGACAUCGUCGAGUGCGAUUCGAAGCUGCAUCCCCGAGUACAAGAUCUCAUCAAAGUUAUAUUUGAUGUGAACACUAUGAAAAAUCUUAUGUUGGAGUUCGAGUUGGAUACAAAAAAAAUGCCCUUGGGUAAAUUGAGUAAAGCCCAAAUUCAAAAAGCCUUUGGAGUUUUGAGCGAAUUGCAAACUCUGAUAAACGAAAAAGCAGAAAGAUCCAGAUUUAUAGAUGCCUCCAACAGAUUUUACACGUUCAUACCUCACUCCUUCGGUGUCGACAAUCCACCAAUCUUAGACGAUCCCGAAGUUAUCAAGCAAAAAAUCGAAAUGUUGGACAGCUUACUAGAACUGGAAAUCGCCUACAACGUAAUGAACACAUCGGGAUCAGAACACACAGUCGACAGCUACUACAAGCAGCUCAAUACAGAGAUCGAUGUUUUGGAUAAAGCAAGCGAAGAAUUCCAAAUUAUCGAAGAAUAUGUCAAGAACACUCAUGCAGCUGACCAUAAUACUUACGAAUUGGUUAUCGACCAGGUGUAUACUGUCAAACGACAAGGAGAAGAAGAGCGCCACGAACCAUUCCGCAAGCUCCCGAACAGAAAACUGCUAUGGCACGGAUCCAGAGUUACCAAUUUUGCAGGUAUUCUAUCUCAAGGUCUUCGCAUUGCCCCACCAGAAGCGCCUGUUACCGGUUACAUGUUCGGCAAAGGUAUCUACUUCGCUGAUAUGGUCUCCAAGUCUGCCAAUUAUUGUUGCACCAACGUCAACAGUCCGUUGGGUUUGAUGCUGCUCUGCGAUGUAGCUCUAGGAAAUAGUUGUGACUGCAUAGCUUCACUGAUGAUGCAUGAGGAUGCUGAAAUAGCAAUAUAGAGAUGGUGGUCCAACUCUGAAUCAAAUAUAAACAAAAACUGCCUUUAUCAUAUUUACUGCAGUUUCCGACAUCUGACGUUAACAUAGAUGCACGAAAGACUGCAAGCCGAUUACAUUAAAAAGUUGCCAAAAGGGAAGCACAGUUGCAAAGGUGUAGGCAUGACACAUCCAGAUCCUUCUGUGGUGAAGAAGAUUGGUGAUAUUGAAGUGCCUGUUGGAAAAGGAGUUUCCAGCGAUGCCAAGUCCAGUUUGUUGUAUAACGA
rnacentral:misc_RNA from 1 species